GAUGAACGCUGGCGGUAUGCUUAACACAUGCAAGUCGAACGGACUCUUCGGAGUUAGUGGCGGACGGGUGAGUAACGCGUGAGAAUCUGGCUUUGGGUUCGGGACAACCACUGGAAACGGUGGCUAAUACCGGAUGUGCCGAGAGGUAAAAGAGAAAUUGCCUGAAGAUGAGCUCGCGUCUGAUUAGCUAGUUGGUGAGGUAAAGGCUCACCAAGGCGGCGAUCAGUAGCUGGUCUGAGAGGAUGACCAGCCACACUGGGACUGAGACACGGCCCAGACUCCUACGGGAGGCAGCAGUGGGGAAUUUUCCGCAAUGGGCGAAAGCCUGACGGAGCAGUACCGCGUGAGGGAAGAAGGCUCUUGGGUUGUAAACCUCUUUUCUUAGGGAAGAACAAAAUGACGGUACCUAAGGAAUCAGCAUCGGCUAACUCCGUG
rnacentral:rRNA from 1 species